rnacentral:rRNA from 1 species
AGAGUUUGAUCAUGGCUCAGGAUGAACGCUAGCGACAGGCUUAACACAUGCAAGUCGAGGGGCAGCACAGGAAGUAGCUUGCUACUUUUGGUGGCGACCGGCGCACGGGUGCGUAACGCGUAUGCAACCUACCCAUAACAGGGGGAUAACACUGAGAAAUUGGUACUAAUACCCCAUAAUAUUUUGGAAGGCAUCUUCUAAAGUUGAAAACUCCGGUGGUUAUGGAUGGGCAUGCGUUGUAUUAGCUAGUUGGUGAGGUAACGGCUCACCAAGGCGACGAUACAUAGGGGGACUGAGAGGUUAACCCCCCACAUUGGUACUGAGACACGGACCAAACUCCUACGGGAGGCAGCAGUGAGGAAUAUUGGUCAAUGGACGCAAGUCUGAACCAGCCAUGCCGCGUGCAGGAAGACGGCUCUAUGAGUUGUAAACUGCUUUUGUAUGAGGGUAAACGCAGAUACGCGUAUCUGCCUGAAAGUAUCAUACGAAUAAGGAUCGGCUAACUCCGUGCCAGCAGCCGCGGUAAUACGGAGGAUUCAAGCGUUAUCCGGAUUUAUUGGGUUUAAAGGGUGCGUAGGCGGUUGAAUAAGUCAGUGGUGAAAUACCGGGGCUCGACUCCGGAACUGCCAUUGAUACUGUUUAGCUAGAGAGUAGUUGCUGUGGGCGGAAUGUAUGGUGUAGCGGUGAAAUGCUUAGAGAUCAUACAGAACACCGAUUGCGAAGGCAGCUCACAAAACUAUAUCUGACGUUGAGGCACGAAAGCGUGGGGAGCAAAUAGGAUUAGAUACCCUAGUAGUCCACGCCGUAAACGAUGAGUACUAAGUGUCGGGAAACCGGUGCUGAAGUUAACACAUUAAGUACUCCGCCUGAGUAGUACGGUCGCAAGGCUGAAACUCAAAGGAAUUGACGGGCACCCGCACAAGCGGUGGAGCAUGCUGUUUAAUUCGAAGAUACGCGAAGAACCUUACCUAGACUUGACAUCCCUGGCAAAGCUAUAGAAAUAUAGUGGAGGUUAUCCAGGUGACAGGUGGUGCAUGGUUGUCGUCAGCUCGUGUCGUGAGAUGUUCGGUUAAGUCCGAUAACGAGCGCAACCCUUAUCAUUAGUUACUAACAUUCAGUUGAGGACUCUAAUGAGACUGCCGGUGAUAAACCGGAGGAAGGUGGGGAUGACGUCAAAUCAUCAUGCCCCUUACGUCUAGGGCUACAGGCGUGCUACAAUGGCUGGUACAAAGAGACGCAAUACCGUGAGGUGGAGCAAAUCUCCAAAACCAGUCCCAGUUCGGAUUGGAGUCUGCAACUCGACUCCAUGAAGUUGGAAUCGCUAGUAAUCCUGAAUCAGAAUGUCAGGGUGAAUACGUUCCCGGGUGUUGCACUCACCGCCCGU